ACUCCUACGGGAGGCAGCAGUGGGAAUAUUGCACAAUGGGCGCAAGCCUGAUGCAGCCAUGCCGCGUGUAUGAAGAAGGCCUUCGGGUUGUAAAGUACUUCAGCAGUGAGGAAGGUGGAGUCGUUAAUAGCGGCCCUCAUUUGACGUUAGCUGCAGAAGAAGCACCGGGCUAACUCCGUGCCAGCAGCCGCGGGUAAUACGGAGGGUGCGAGCGUUAAUCGGAAUUACUGGGCGUAAAGCGCAUGCAGGUGGUUUGUUAAGUCAGAUGUGAAAGCCCGGGGCUCAAGCC
rnacentral:rRNA from 1 species